rnacentral:siRNA from 1 species
GCGAGACCAAGUAUCGUUAUCUCA